ACAGUAUGAAAUUGUGUUGUCCUUUAAGGUCAGUUUGUUUAUUCAGUCAUGAAAACAAACAGUUUGUUUAUUAAGUUUGUUGAGGCAUUUAAAAGAUCAGUCAACAAUUGUUCUGAUUAAAACAUAUUCCCCAAAAGUACAUAUUGCACCUCUAAGAAAGUUUAGCACAAAAAAUACUUUUACUUUCAUUGUUAAUAGAUAGAAUAUCUUGAAUCCUUGAAAACCAUUCAGUGUCCCUGCCCGUUCUUCUUUAACUACAUGAGCAUUCAGACUGAGUGUUUGAGGCUCAUGCUGUAAGCAGCUUCAGUACCGGUGGGACCUGCAGCAGUAACCUCGAGGGGAGAAACGUAGCUGAGCCUCCAAGAAUUCUGUAGACUUUAGAUUACCGAAGCCAAGGAUUCAAAUACUGCAAUGCAAAGUUGAUCACAUGUCGCUUAGGAGCUAGGCAAACAAGCAGCACAGGGCUCUGCUGAGGUCAGCCUCACGUUUGUUUAGAGGAGACAACUGCAUGGUUGCUUUGACUGCAUGAAUUCAUCUGUGCCCAACCUGUAAAUACCAUUACACAUCUGCUGAGGCCAAAUGUAGCCUUUGUCUCCUCUCCAGGAUUUAAAUGCGAGUAAAAACAAAAAAUACUGUAGCCUCUCCCUGCCACACAAACACAGCUUUUUAAUUACAAAAUAACUACCACACAGUCGGUCACAUGGAUUCCCCCUGGGCCAAUUUUCCCUGUCAACAUUCAGGCGGGCUGACUGGCUGUGAGGCAGAGACAAGUGGGAUCCUCAAACACAGAAUAGAGCUGCAUCCUUGAGAAAGAAUCAAAUAUAGGUCAGUGCCAUUAGUGGAGCAUUUGAGAGGCAAAACGCUGAGCUCCAGGGACGCCUACGUAGGUCUUACAGCAUGAGGGAAAUAGGCGUUGUAGCUGUUUCACUACACUGAAUAUCACUGCAGCAGAUACAAAAGAAGAAGAAAAAAUGAAGGCACAGAAAAAGGAAAGGAGGCCUUUAAUGGCUUUCUGGUGUAGGAAAAACCAGAACUUAGACUCAGAAGGGGAUUUUUAAUGAUGAGACAUGCUCUUUUACAGAAGAGCAAAAAUAAAUCUACAGAGCAAAAUCCUCUGUUUAACUGUAACCUCGGGCUUUAAGGCUUAACGUGACAGUUGAGUGGAAAACAAGCCCAUCAGGAGCUCGGUUCGUCGGUACGCUGAAUAGCUGAUUAGGCCUCUCCGUGCACCUGCUUAGCACCUGCGCAUCUUCCCCUCUCGGCUCAUUUAAACCGUCGGACGUGUGAAGAAGAAGGGGAGGAAGACAGACAGUAACCGGAGCUCAGUUGGUUAACUUACACGCUCUGAAACUAAACUAUUUCUGGGUAACCGAGGGCUUGGGCUGAGUGAAGAGUACAGAAGAACAUGACCAGAAAGGAAAACUAACCUCUCCGUCAUAUGAGCUUAACUCCAGCAAAUUGAUUAGAGAGGUUGUUUCUGUAGGCGGCUGCAUUCCUAAAUCAUAUUGAUUCAUUUUGUUGGUUGCAACGAGUCAAACUGUGUCCUUGAUUAAAUUUGUGCAUGUGACGGGACGGUGGGUCAUUA